rnacentral:rRNA from 1 species
CGCUGGCGGCGUGCCUAACACAUGCAAGUCGAACGAGAAUCAUUUGAACAGAGGCUUCGGCCGACGGAAUUUUGAGGAAAGUGGCGAACGGGUGAGUAACGCGUGAGAAACCUGCCUUUCAGUGGGGGAUAACAGUUGGAAACGACCGCUAAUACCGCAUAACGUGUGUAGAUGGCAUCUGAAACACAUCAAAGGAGCAAUCCGCAUGAAGAUGGGCUCGCGUCUGAUUAGCUAGUUGGUAAGGUAACGGCUUACCAAGGCGACGAUCAGUAGCCGGUCUGAGAGGAUGAACGGCCACAUUGGGACUGAGAUACGGCCCAGACUCCUACGGGAGGCAGCAGUGGGGAAUAUUGGGCAAUGGGGGAAACCCUGACCCAGCAACGCCGCGUGAAGGAAGAAGGCCUUCGGGUUGUAAACUUCUUUUACCAGGGACGAAGAACGUGACGGUACCUGGAGAAAAAGCAACGGCUAACUACGUG